rnacentral:rRNA from 1 species
AACGAACGCUGGCGGCAGGCCUAACACAUGCAAGUCGAACGAACCUUUAUGGUGAGUGGCGCACGGGUGCGUAACACGUGGGAAUAUACAUUUCGGUAAGGAAUAACGUAGAGAAAUUUGCGCUAAUACCUUAUAAUGACUCCGGUCCAAAGAUUUAUCGCCGAAGGAUUAGCCCGCGUCUGAUUAGGUAGUUGGUAGGGAAAAAGCCUACCAAGCCGACGAUCAGUAGCUGGUCUGAGAGGAUGAUCAGCCACACUGGAACUGAGACACGGUCCAGACUCCUACGGGAGGCAGCAGUGAGGAAUAUUGGACAAUGGGGGAAACCCUGAUCCAGCCAUGCCGCGUGAGUGACGAAGGCCUUAGGGUUGUAAAGCUCUUUCGGAUGCGAAGAUAAUGACGGUAACAUCAGAAGAAGCUCCGGCUAAAUUCGUGCCAGCCGCCGCAGUAC